AUGUAAACCUGUGUGUUUAAAGAUAGAUAGUGGACGUGACCAUACAAAAAACUUCCCACUAGGUCUUCUAUCUGCUACUUUGCUAGCACUUGGCCUGCUGUGAAUGUUU
rnacentral:snoRNA from 1 species